rnacentral:snRNA from 1 species
AUUACCACGUUCAAGAACCCAGGUUCAAAAAUGGAUUUUUGGGACUAGGAGUUGGAAUAGGGGCUUGCUCUGUCCACUCCAGGCACCCACCUGGUAUUGCAGUACUUCCAGGAACAGUGCACCCCCC